CAUUACCGAGUUAUUCAACUCAUCAACCCUGUGAACAUACCUAAACGUUGCUUCGGCGGGAAUAGACGGCCCCGUGAAACGGGCCGCCCCCGCCAGAGGACCCUUAACUCUGUUUCUAUAAUGUUUCUUCUGAGUAAAACAAGCAAAUAAAUUAAAACUUUCAACAACGGAUCUCUUGGCUCUGGCAUCGAUGAAGAACGCAGCGAAAUGCGAUAAGUAAUGUGAAUUGCAGAAUUCAGUGAAUCAUCGAAUCUUUGAACGCACAUUGCGCCCGCCAGUAUUCUGGCGGGCAUGCCUGUUCGAGCGUCAUUACAACCCUCAGGCCCCCGGGCCUGGCGUUGGGGAUCGGCGGAGCCCCCCGUGGGCACACGCCGUCCCCCAAAUACAGUGGCGGUCCCGCCGCAGCUUCCAUCGCGUAGUAGCUAACACCUCGCGACUGGAGAGCGGCGCGGCCACGCCGUAAAACACCCAACUUCUUCUGAAGUUGACCUCGAAUCAGGUAGGAAUACCCGC
rnacentral:rRNA from 1 species